rnacentral:rRNA from 1 species
UACGGAGGGUGCAAGCGUUGCUCGGAAUCACUUGGCGUAAAGCGACCGCAGGCGGCCUGACAAGUCGGAUGUGAAAGCCCUGGGCUCAACUCAGGAAUUGCAUUCGAAACUGGCAGGCUCGAGUACGGGAGAGGGGGGUGGAAUUCCUGGUGUAGGGGUGAAAUUCGUUGAUAUCAGGAGGAACACCGGCGGCGAAGGCGGCCCCCUGGCCCGCAACUGACGCUCAUGGUCGAAAGCGUGGGGAGCAAACAGG